GUCCCCUACGGGACGCAGCAGUGGGGAAUAUUGGGCAAUGGGCGCAAGCCUGACCCAGCAACGCCGCGUGAAGGAAGAAGGCUUUCGGGUUGUAAACUUCUUUUCUCAGGGACGAAGAAAGUGACGGUACCUGAGGAAUAAGCCACGGCUAACUACGUGCCAGCAGCCGCGGUAAUACGUAGGUGGCAAGCGUUAUCCGGAUUUACUGGGUGUAAAGGGCGUGUAGGCGGGGAAGCAAGUGAGAUGUGAAAACCACGGGCUUAACCUGUGGCCUGCAUUUGAAACUGUAU
rnacentral:rRNA from 1 species